GCAAGUCGAGCGCGCCCUUCGGGGUGAGCGGCGGACGGGUGAGUAACGCGUGGGAACGUGCCCUUUGCUGCGGAAUAGCCACUGGAAACGGUGAGUAAUACCGCAUGAGCCCUUCGGGGGAAAGAUUUAUCGGCAAGGGAUCGGCCCGCGUUGGAUUAGGUAGUUGGUGGGGUAAUGGCCUACCAAGCCGACGAUCCAUAGCUGGUUUCAGAGGAUGAUCAGCCACACUGGGACUGAGACACGGCCCAGACUCCUACGGGAGGCAGCAGUGGGGAAUCUUAGACAAUGGGCGCAAGCCUGAUCUAGCCAUGCCGCGUGAGUGACGAAGGCCCUAGGGUCGUAAAGCUCUUUCGCCUGUGAAGAUAAUGACGGUAGCAGGUAAAGAAACCCCGGCUAACUCCGUGCCAGCAGCCGCGGUAAUACGGAGGGGGUUAGCGUUGUUCGGAAUUACUGGGCGUAAAGCGCGCGUAGGCGGACCAUCAAGUUGGGGGUGAAAUCCCGGGGCUCAACCCCGGAACUGCCUCCAAAACUGGCGGUCUGGAGUUCGAGAGAGGUAAGUGGAAUUCCGAGUGUAGAGGUGAAAUUCGUAGAUAUUCGGAGGAACACCAGUGGCGAAGGCGGCUCACUGGCUCGAGACUGACGCUGAGGUGCGAAAGUGUGGGGAGCAAACAGGAUUAGAUACCCUGGUAGUCCACACCGUAAACGAUGAAUGCCAGUCGUCGGCAAGCAUGCUUGUCGGUGACACACCUAACGGAUUAAGCAUUCCGCCUGGGGAGUACGGGCCGCAAGGGUUACAACUCAAAGGAAUUGACGGAA
rnacentral:rRNA from 1 species